rnacentral:rRNA from 1 species
GACGUAGGGCGCGAGCGUUGUCCGGGAUUUAUUGGGCGUAAAGAGCUCGUAGGCGGCUUGUCGCGUCGUCCGUGAAAACUUGGGGCUCAACCCCAAGCUUGCGGUCGAUACGGGCAGGCUCGAGUUCGGUAGGGGAGACUGGAAUUCCUGGUGUAGCGGUGAAAUGCGCAGAUAUCAGGAGGAACACCGGUGGCGAAGGCGGGUCUCUGGGCAGUAACUGACGCUGAGGAGCGAAAGCGUGGGGAGCGAACAGG